UACGUAGGCAGCAAGCGUUGUUCGGAUUUACUGGGCGUAAAGAGUGCGUAGGCGGUGCCCUAAGUCUGUUGUGAAAUCUCCCGGCUUAACUGGGAGGGUGCGGUGGAAACUGGGGUGCUUGAGUGUGGGAGAGGUUAGCGGAAUUCCUGGUGUAGCGGUGAAAUGCGUAGAUAUCUGGAGGAACACCGGUGGCGAAGGCGGCAUCCUGGACCGACACUGACACUGAGGAGCGAAAGCCAGGGGAGCAAACGGG
rnacentral:rRNA from 1 species